AUUAACUUGUAAAAAUGUUAUUUAGUAGCUUUAAACAAUUAUUAUUUAUUGUUACAGACAAUAAGUAUGGCUAACCCUCGUAUUUUUUUUUUUUUUAAGCAAUUAAGAGAGCUAGUAUACACAUAUGACGUUGAGAUGUACACAAUAAAGCAAAAGGUGAUGAAACUCCGAAUGGUCCCCUUGCCUACACAAGUAUAGGUGCGAAGUGCAACCGCAACCCACACGGUGAUGACGACUCGAGAUUAAAUGGUCUCUCAUCUUUAUGUAUCAUCGUUAAAACCGGAAGUGCUCCAAAGGCCCCCCCCUCGAGCG